rnacentral:rRNA from 1 species
GACGAACGCUGGCGGCGUGCUUAACACAUGCAAGUCGAACGGAAAGGCCCUGCUUUUGUGGGGUGCUCGAGUGGCGAACGGGUGAGUAACACGUGAGUAACCUGCCCUUGACUUUGGGAUAACUUCAGGAAACUGGGGCUAAUACCGGAUAGGAGCUCCUGCUGCAUGGUGGGGGUUGGAAAGUUUCGGCGGUUGGGGAUGGACUCGCGGCUUAUCAGCUUGUUGGUGGGGUAGUGGCUUACCAAGGCUUUGACGGGUAGCCGGCCUGGGAGGGUGACCGGCCACAUUGGGACUGAGAUACGGCCCAGACUCCUACGGGAGGCAGCAGUGGGGAAUAUUGCACAAUGGGCGGAAGCCUGAUGCAGCAACGCCGCGUGCGGGAUGACGGCCUUCGGGUUGUAAACCGCUUUAGCCUGUGACGAAGCGUGAGUGACGGUAAUGGGUAAAGAAGCACCGGCUAACUACGUG